rnacentral:rRNA from 1 species
CCNCCCUGGAGUAAGGAGAAAGAUCCCUUAUAAAGUUGUGUUACAUAUAAUAGAAAACGUUUGUUAAUAUAAAGAAAAAAUAAUUUCCUUAUUGCCGCAAGGUAUAAGGCAAGGACUUGUUUGUUUUUGUCUAAACAAAUAUCUUUCUUUAAUAAACAUAUCUCAUUGCANGAUAACACUUAANAAUNAAGAANGNAAAGCUUUUGCUCUUGGAAGUUAAUAUCUCGGGUNNUAUUAGUUAAGGUAAAUNUUAACUAGCUUAAUACNCGUAGNCNUGACUGAGAGGUUGAUCGACCACAGUGGGACUGAAUAAAUCCCAUGACGACUGUCUCAGCACGUGAGGAAUAUUGGUCAAUAGCCUAACGGCUGAACCANCAACUUGGAGGAAUGUAUGGCGAAAGCUGGUUGCAUUUACUAAAAAGGUGCAAGAUUGAUUCUAUCGAAUAAAGUUCUAGAUAGGUUAUGAUGAUGACAUUUCCUGUCUAUGUGUCUUGACUAAAUUACGUGCCAGCAGUCGCGGUAAUACGUAGAAGACUAGUGUUAUUCAUCUUUAAUAGGUUUAAAGGGUACCUAGACGGUAAAUCAAGUCCAAAAAGGAUACUAAUUUGCUAGAGUUUAAUGUGAGGGGGCACUAAAGUACUGAUAAGUGUAGAGAUGAAAUUCUGUGAUACAAUAUAAGGACAGGUAAAGGCGAAAGCAUCUCAUUAUGUAAUAACUGACGUUGAGGGACGAAGGCUAGGAGAAGCAAAAAGGAUUAGAUACCCAAGUAGUCUUAGCAGAAAAUUAUGAAUGUCAUAGGAUGGAAAUAGUGGAUAACAAUUUUUUUUUCUAUAAAUGAAAGUGUAAGCAUUCCACCNCGAGAGUAAUUUGGCAACAUUGGAACUGAAAUCANUAGACCGUUUCUGAAACAAGUAGUGAAGUAUGUUGUUUAAUUUGAUGGUCCGCAAAAAACCUUACCACAAUUUGGAUAGAAAUUUUUAUUUUANACAAGCGCNGCACGGUUGUCUCCAGUUAAUGUCGUGAGAUCUUGGUUAGUUCCAUUAAAUUAACGUAAACCCUUACUUUAUUUAUAUAUAGAGUAGUUCACCGCUAGAUUGGAUGUGAUAACAGGGA